rnacentral:ribozyme from 1 species
UUUUUUUUUUUUUUUUUUUUAUUUUUUUUUUUUUUUUUUUUUUUUCUUUUUUUUUUUCUUUUUUUUUCUGUGAAAGAAACAAGAAAU